rnacentral:rRNA from 1 species
AUCCUGGCUCAGGAUGAACGCUAGCGGCAGGCCUAACACAUGCAAGUCGAGGGGUAUUAGGAGCUUGCUUCUGAGAGACCGGCGCACGGGUGAGUAACGCGUAUGCAAUCUACCUUUCACAAGAGAAUAGCCCGGAGAAAUCCGGAUUAAUGCUCUAGAGUUUAUAGAACUGGCAUCGGUUUUAUAAUAAAGAUUUAUCGGUGAAAGAUGAGCAUGCGUCUCAUUAGCUAGUUGGUGUGGUAACGGCAUACCAAGGCAAUGAUGAGUAGGGGUCCUGAGGGGGAGAUCCCCCACACUGGUACUGAGACACGGACCAGACUCCUACGGGAAGGCAGCAGUGAGGAAUAUUGGUCAAUGGAGGCAACUCUGAACCAGCCAUGCCGCGUGCAGGAUGACGAUCCUAUGGAUUGUAAACUGCUUUUGUACAGGAAGAA